GUAUGAGAAGACAGUGUUUGUACCACUUGCCUUUUUUUUUUGUUUUGUUUUGUUUGCUUUUUUGUUCGUAAGUUAUUGCUCCUCUUACCUAACCUCACCAGUUUUGAGUAUUUUUUAAUUCUUGCCUUUUGUGCCUUUUCCCAUAGGUAAACCAUCCCUGGCACCCUAAAAGGUACACUCCGUGUUAUUGUGUAUCAGUCUGCUGUCAGAGCACUGAGCCCAUAGGACAUUGCAAAAGAAAGAAAACUGCAGUUUUGCAUAAUCUCCAUAUAGCAACAGUCGCUGUGCUUCCGUGGAACACACAGUGUUCUUUGGCAGCCUCAGUGCGAGGAGCCGGCACUUUGCUUGCUGUGCGCAGUAGAUAGCAAAGGACCGCAUUUUCCCAGAGCCCAGGUCUCUCCCCUCUCACAGCCUUCUUGUGAAGGUUGCACAAGAUGUGAAUUUUGCCGGCACUAUGUAAAUUGCAAAAACUACUGACAUAAUGCUAUUUGACAUAAUGCAGCUUUUAUUGAGUGCCCUAAACUGUCCUGACUUUGUGAGAGGAAGAUUUUUCCUUCAGGGUUUUCUACUUUGUGGGAAGAACAGAUGGACAGACUCAGAUCCGAAAUAAAUUUUAGGGAUCAUAGGUUUUUUUUUCUUAAUUGAAGGGAUGAUAGUAAUACAGUCUUAUUAGCAUAUAUUGCCAGAUUUACAGCCCUUGCGGUCACUAGCAUAUCAGAGUUUGCUUUGGAAUUUCCUGGUUUUAGCCCUCAAAGGCCCAUGUCCUAGAAAGCCUCUCUGUCCCAGGCAAACUGGGACAGUUGGUCAACCUUGGACUGUUUUCAGUGCCACAAGCUGGGGGGAUGAGCAGAAUGGGAAGGUUGUUAGUGUGUAGAGGUGAUUAGGGUUCCCUGCAGCUGGAGGUUACUGGACACAGGAAAAUGGAUGUUCUUGUAUAAAGUAAGUAUGGGCUGACACCUGAAACUCGGCACAUCCAAAAUCAAAGUGAUAACUUUAUUCAUCUUUAUUAUUCCUUCUCUCAAUCCCCACACAUGGGUUCUUUAAAAAAAUAAAAAUUAUAUAUAUAUAUACACUUAAAAUUUUCUAUCUAAUUCUAAUAUUUAUCUCUGGUAAAGGCUUUACCAAACUUGUAGUCACUUCAGAGUGAAGAAGUUCUUUGUUAUGCCAUGUUACUAUUUGCCAGUCUGAUGAAGCCUAAUGCUGCCACAAUUUGUUGCCCAUAUCCAUAAUUGAAGAAAGACUGAUAAGAUGGAAUCCUGUCAUCUGGAACCUGUGAUCUCUGAAUUUGCGUAAAAUUUAUCCAGGCCCAGAAAAGCAGCAGAACCAGGUGGGCAACACCAGGACCAGUUGUAAUGACUAAGGUGUUGACUAAUCAGUAGAGACCAUGACCGUGAAAGGGAACACCUGGAAAACUGACUGAAACCCUCCCUGAGACCUCCGCUGAGAUUCCCGCCUGCAUGAGAUAGGUUGGACACACCCUGGCAGAAUCAACCCAUGGGGAUGCUGCUCCUUGAUCUGCCACUUCAUACAUGUUGUUCAGAGAUGAUGGCAAUUUAUCCUCGCUCCUGAUGCUUGCCCGGCUGAGCGUCCUUGAACACACCUUGCUGUUGUAGACCCUGCCCAUGCUAUUUUCUCGGCUCACAUUUGCUUUCUCCUUGGUCUGUCCAUAGACUUCCUCCUUAUCUGUCAAGACACAGAACGUGUCCUCUGGUCCUCCUUCGCUGUCCUUUCUGGCACCUCCCUCCUCAGGCUCUGGCGCAGUGGCAGUUCAUCGUUACAAACACCCCCCCUUAGCUUCUGAUGGAUGAGCAAAGCGGCCAUCGAAGAUGUGUGGCUGACAGUCCUGCCUAGCCAUUCCUGUUUUGGCGAAGUCGUGGAUAACGUUGAUGAGAUGACACAAGUA